GUAGAAAGAACCUAGUCAGACAAAAUAAUUCACAGUGACAAUGGACGUUUACUGAGAGACCUGAUGCUUACAAAAAUUCAGAACUCUGCCCAAGGUCAAGCAGCCCAGUAGUGAUUGAAAGAGACAGAGCAGGGGAGGAGCAGAGAGAGAGGGAGAGAGAGAAUCCCAGGCAGGUCUCCCACUGUCAGCAUGGAGCCCGAUGCAGGGCUUGAUCUCCUGAACCACAAGAUCAUGACCUGAGUGGAAAUCAAGAGCUGGACGUUUAACCGACUGAGCCACCCGGGCGCCCCGUCACAGUAAAUUUCUGACAUCCAUCUGUGUGGUUGCCAGAGUUUAUUUCUUUUCAUUGCUUUAUAGAAUUCCGUUGUACAAAUAUACUACAUUGAAUGCAUGUAAGUUGUUGGGCAUGCAUGUUGUUUUCAACUGUUAGAAAUUACAAUAAUGAACGUACCUACAAAAAGUGAACUUCUUGUAAAUAUCUUUUACGAGCAAAUGUGUGCAUUUCUCUGGGUCAAAACUUAGGAGUGAAAGUUCUGA